rnacentral:rRNA from 1 species
AUGACAUCGACUCAUGAAAAAGGCAAGAGCAAGGCGCGGACAAAGCUUCUGAUCGAUAUCCAAAAUGCUGUUCAGGAGUGUUGGGAGGAGCACAGGGUUUUUGAGGCCGAGCCUGGGGACAAACCUCCGGCGCCGGGCGAAAAAUUCUUUGGCACGUUUCCCUACCCAUACAUGAAUGGUUUACUGCAUUUGGGCCAUGCCUUCUCACUGUCCAAGCUUGAGUUCGGUGCUGCAUACCACAGGCUUCGUGGGUCCAAUGUCCUUUUACCCUUCGCUUUCCAUUGUACUGGGAUGCCAAUAAAGGCCUCGGCGGACAAGCUUGCCCGAGAGAUUGCACGAUAUGGGAAUCCUCCGGUAUUUCCUGUGGCAGACGAGAAGUUAAGUGCUGAGGUGUCAGAGGCUGAUCAGGUCGCCGUUGUUCCGGGUAAGUUUAAGAGCAAGAAAGGUAAGGCUGCUGCAAAGUCUGGUGUUCAGAAGUUUCAGUGGGAGAUUAUGGAGAGCUAUGCGCUGUCAGAUCAAGAAAUUGCCAGAUUUCAGGAUCCUUAUAAUUGGAUGACUUACUUCCCUCAAUUGGCCAAGGACCAUCUCAAGGAUUUUGGUCUGGGUUGUGAUUGGAGGUGUUCUUUCGUAACCACUGACAUCAACCCGUUCUAUGAUGCUUUUGUCCGAUGGCAAAUGAGGAAGUUGAAGAAACUGCACAGGAUUGUUAAAGAUAUGAGGUACACGAUCUAUUCUCCGUUGGAUGGCCAACCUUGUGCUGACCAUGAUCGAGCAACAGGUGAAGGUGUGCAGCCACAGGAGUAUGUGUUGAUUAAAAUGGAGGUGCUACCGCCUUUUCCUCCCAAGAUGAAGGCCUUAGAAGGGAGGAAAGUCUAUUUGGCAGCAGCGACGUUGAGACCCGAGACUAUGUAUGGGCAGACAAACUGUUGGGUAUUGCCAGAUGGAAACUACGGGGCAUUCGAGGUUAAUGACAUUGAUGUCUUUAUCAUGACAGCAAGGGCUGCUCUUAAUCUUGCAUAUCAACAUCUAUCCAGGGUCCCAGAAAAGCCAACCUGCUUAGCCGAACUGUCUGGCAGUGAUCUGAUUGGUCUGCAGUUAAGAUCUCCUCUCGCUUUGAGUGAAAACAUAUAUGCGCUGCCCAUGCUCACCAUCUUAACAGAUAAAGGCACCGGCAUCGUGACUAGUGUUCCGAGUGAUUCGCCGGAUGAUUUCAUGGCCCUGCAAGAUUUGGUCACCAAGCCUGCUUUGAGAGCGAAGUAUGGAGUCAAGGAUGAGUGGGUUCUUCCCCUCAAAGUUAUCCCUGUAAUCAACAUUCCUGAAUUUGGGGACAAGUCAGCUGAGAAGGUGUGCUUUAGUCUCAAGAUUAAGAGCCAGAAUGACAAGGAGAAGCUCGCUGAAGCAAAAAGAAUGACAUACCUGAAAGGAUUUACUGAUGGGACAAUGAUUGUAGGGGAGUUCAGUGGAAGAAAGGUACAAGAGGUAAAGGCACUGAUAAGGAAGAAACUGUUGGAAGAAGCCAUGGCAGUGUUGUACAGUGAGCCCGAGAAGAAAGUUAUGUCGAGGUCCGGCGACGAGUGCGUGGUCGCGCUCACAGAUCAGUGGUACAUCACUUACGGUGAAGGUGAGUGGAAGCAGAAGGCGGUCCGGUGUUUGGAGAAUAUGAAUACUUUCUCAUCAGAAACUCGAAAUGGUUUCGAGCACACGUUGGGCUGGCUCAACCAAUGGGCAUGUUCACGUUCUUUUGGCCUAGGUACUCGCAUCCCUUGGGAUGAGCAGUUCCUUGUGGAAUCUCUUUCCGAUUCAAGCCUGUACAUGGCUUACUACACAGUUGCGCAUUAUCUGCAAAACGGCAACAUGUAUGGAAAGGAAAUUUCAUCCAUCAUGCCAGAACAGAUGACGGAUGAAGUGUGGGACUAUGUGUUCUGUGAUGGCCCAGAACCCAAGAGUGACAUCCCUUGUGCCCUCCUGUGCAAAAUGAAGCAAGAAUUCGAAUAUUGGUAUCCCUUGGAUAUUCGGAUGUCUGGUAAGGAUCUUAUCCAGAACCACCUGACAUUCAGCAUCUACAACCACGCCUCGCUUCUCCCGGAGCACCACUGGCCUCGCGGAUUUCGUUGCAAUGGGCAUCUCAUGCUUAACUCUGAGAAGAUGUCCAAGUCCACAGGGAACUUUCUAACUCUCAAGGAGGCCACUGCGGAAUACUCGUCCGACGCAACUAGGUUUGCCCUUGCCGAUGCCGGUGACGGCAUGGAUGAUGCCAACUUCGUCACUGAAACAGCAGAAUCCGCUGUUCUGAGGCUCACGAAAGAGCUUGCGUGGAUGGAAGAGGUCAUAGCUUCUGAAUCUUCUCUAAGGUCUGGGCCUCCCUCUACUUUUGCUGACCGUGUGUUUGCGAAUGAGAUGAACAUUGCUGUGAAAGAAACUGAGAAGAGCUAUGACGCCUUCAUGUUCAGAGAUGCCCUCAAGUCUGGGUUCUAUGACCUCCAGUUGGCGAGGGAUGAGUACAGACUCUGUUGCAGAAUGGCAGGCAUGAACCGCGAUCUUUUGUGGCGAUUUAUGGAUGUCCAGACCAGGCUCAUCACCCCCAUCUGUCCACACUACGCCGAACAUGUCUGGCGAAAGCUCCUGAGAAAGGAUGGUUUUGCGAUCAAAGCUGGGUGGCCAGUCGCAGGCGCUCCGGAUCCUACUCUAAGAUCUGCAAACAAAUAUCUACAGGACUCCAUCGUUUUGAUGAGGAAGCUGCUAAAGGCGCAGGAAUCUGGUUCCAAGAAACCCAAGAAGGGAGCUGCACCUCUGCUACCAUCGUCAGAGGGAAACAAGUUGGCCGUUGGUCUGAUAUAUGUCAAUGAGCACUAUUAUGGGUGGAAAGCGCAGUGUCUGAAGGUGCUCCGGUCAAAGUUUGAUAGCCAGACAUGUACCUUCGCCGCUGACGAGGAGAUCAAUAAGGCACUGAGGAACUGCCUUGUUGGACAGGAAGCGGCAGACUUCAGACAAGUCCAGAAACAGUGCAUGCCUUUCAUCAAGCUGAAGAAAGUCGAAACUAGCAACUUUGGUUCCAAUGCUCUGGAUCUGAAGCUCCCUUUCAGUGAAAUUGAUGUUCUCAAGCAAAAUCUGGAGCUGAUCAAAAGGCAGUUGGGCCUUGAGCACGUGGAGGUGUUGUCGACAUCUGAUGAAGCCGCUCUUGCCAAAGCUGACAGCUAUGUUUCUGUGUUGAACAAGACCCCACCUUCCCCCGGUGAGCCAGUUGCAGUAUUCAUGACCAGGCAGGCGUUUGAAGCCCAAAACUGA